GAGCACAACAAAGACCUUGUGCUUCACAAGCAGACGCAAGGCCAAAUGCGAUAGCAUCUGAAUCUCGUUCACUACGUUCUACAACGGCUGAAACUGAUCAGGUUGGAAAAUAUGUUUCUUUGAGAAGUAUUCUCACGAAGAAAAUCGUUGCUAAAGGAUUUAUUCAGAGCAUUGAUCCAAAUA